AUUGCCCGCGGGCAACUGGUACCGCGACGUCCUGUCGCACCAGUUGCAUGACCCACAUCCUGUGGG
rnacentral:sRNA from 1 species